rnacentral:rRNA from 1 species
AGUGAACGCUGGCGGUAGGCCUAACACAUGCAAGUCGAACGGCAGCACAGUAAGAGCUUGCUCUUACGGGUGGCGAGUGGCGGACGGGUGAGGAAUACAUCGGAAUCUACUUUUUCGUGGGGGAUAACGUAGGGAAACUUACGCUAAUACCGCAUACGACCUACGGGUGAAAGCAGGGGAUCUUCGGACCUUGCGCGAUUGAAUGAGCCGAUGUCGGAUUAGCUAGUUGGCGGGGUAAAGGCCCACCAAGGCGACGAUCCGUAGCUGGUCUGAGAGGAUGAUCAGCCACACUGGAACUGAGACACGGUCCAGACUCCUAUGGGAGGCAGCAGUGGGGAAUAUUGGACAAUGGGCGCAAGCCUGAUCCAGCCAUACCGCGUGGGUGAAGAAGGCCUUCGGGUUGUAAAGCCCUUUUGUUGGGAAAGAAAAGCAGCAGGUUAAUACCCCGCUGUUCUGACGGUACCCAAAGAAUAAGCACCGGCUAACUUCG